CGAGUAAAUAGGAGAAAAAGGUGCUCAUAUAUCUAAGACUAAAUGUUAGUUCCAUACUGAAAGAGGGAGUACUGUAAAGGAAAGUUGAAAGAGACUUGAAAAGACCUUGAAAUCUGUCUUUAAAAGCAGCUGUGAGACAGCGUACCUUUUGUAUAAUGGGUUUAUAAGAUAUAGUUUGGCAAAUUUAAGUUUUCAAUGAAGGUGAAGAGAAGUCGAGGGGGGCUCUUUUUAGUCAAAUUACCCGAAACCAAGUGAUCUAACCAUGGGCAGUUUAAAGGAACGAACCGGUGGUUGUAGCAAAAACCUCGGAGGACCUGUGGUUGGGGGGGAAAACCCAAUCGAACUUGGACAUAGCUGGUUUUCUGCGAAAACUAUUGAAGUAGUGCGUUCACAAUAGAGUCCUUUUUUAUGGUAAAGUUUGAUCGCUUGAAAGGGGGAUAGACUAUGGAGGUAAAAAUCGAAGUGGAUAGACAGACAGUGGGCAAGAAGGUCUGUUGUCAAAGGGGGAGAGCCCUAAUCAGAAGUUAAAGUCAUAGAUCGCAAAUCGUUAAGUGUAAAAGGAGUGUGGAACUUAGACAAUGAGGAGGUAGGCCUGGAGCCAGUCAUCUUUGAAAGAGCGCGUAGUAGUUCACUCAAGAACUUUUUUUCCCCUAAAAUUAUGGUGGCUAAGCAUUGAGCUGAAACUCUGAGGGCAAAUUUGCUUGGUAGUAGAAUAGGCUGUCGAAUGGCUUAGUGAGAGCCCAAGCGUCAGAAGAGAUAAUGUAGACAUGAGUAAAAAAAUUGUUGACUCAUCUCCCCUGGUUUCCAAGCCUUAGGGCUUGGGUUAUACAGCCCCUAAGGGGGUGGCCGAAGGUUGUCUCGAUGGGUGGUUUAAUAAUAAACGCAUAGAGUGCCAGGAAAUAAUUAUUAAAAGUUGGUACUGUCGUGAACUAACACAAGUGGGAGAUAGUGGGGGAAAAGUUUUUUUAAGGAAUUCGGCCAGGUAGUUUUAGCUCUCAUUAGGGUGUUUUAGAACAUAAGGCCUCGACUGUUUACCAAAAACAUAGCUCUUUGCUAAUAUGAAAGUAGAAGUGUGGAGGGUGAGACCUGCCCAAUGGUUGUAUCUAAAAGGGUUGGUCAGGCUAACUUUAGAAAGACAAUUGAAUGGCCGCGGUAACACUGACCGUGAUAAUGUAGCGUAAUCAAUAGUCAAUUAAUUGUUGGCCGGUAUGAAUGGUGUCACGAAGGUCUCACUGUCUUAAGAAAAUUCCCAGUGAAAUUGAAUUUGUAGUGAAGAUGCUACAUCCAAAUUGUUAGACGAGAAGUCCCCAUGGAACUUUACUGGAGGCCUAUGUAGCUUGAUGGUCUUACAAAUAAAUAGUUUUGAUUAUGUGGUGUUAUCCUCAGUUGAGGGUAGUAAAGCCCACUCUUUUAUUUUAAGAAAGCAAAGGGGGUAGGUCAGACAGUUUGGUUGGGGCGACCGCCUUUUAAAAAGUAACGAAGGUGGGCUUAAGAUACAUAUUAUAAUAACUGUUGUCUGACUGCAAAAGGGGGGCCUUGAGCAGACACUAGUUGUGGUGGGUUGUAGUGACCCGUUAAUUUAAGGUGAAAUAGUUAACGAUAAACAAAUAAAAGUUACCCUGGGGAUAACAGCGCAAUAACGUUAGAGAGUUUUCAUCGACGACGGUGUUUGCGACCUCGAUGUUGAAUUGCGGCAUCCUGGGGUGCAGUCGCUCCCAAGGGUUGGCCUGUUCGUCUAUUAAAGCCGUACAUGAUUUGAGUUAAAAGCGUGGUAACACAGCUUGGUUUCUAUCUACAAUUUGAAGAAACAUCGAUAUAACUAUUUUCUAGUACGAAAGGAUUGAAAAUUAGUGGUUCUCUUAUUUUUAUAAGUUACAAUCAAUCUAU
rnacentral:rRNA from 2 species